GGGGAUGUAGCUCAGUGAUAGAGUGCUUGUCUGGUAUGCACAAGGCCCUGAGUUCAAUCCCCAGCUCUUCCC
rnacentral:tRNA from 1 species